rnacentral:sRNA from 1 species
GCUGGGUGCAGUGGUGCCCCCCUGUAAUCCUAGCAGCUCGGGAGGCUGAGGCAGGAGGAUCACAAGUUCAAAGCCAGCCUUAGCAAUUUAGCAAGCCCUAAUCAACUUCGUGAGACUCUGUCUCGA